CGCGUAAGAGUCUUGAGAAGGGCUGUCCCUAGUACGAGAGGACCGGGACGGACGAACCUCUGGUGUGCCAGUUGUUCCGCCAGGAGCAUGGCUGGUUGGCUACGUUCGGAAGUGAUAACCGCUGAAAGCAUCUAAGCGGGAAGCAUGCUUCAAGAUGAGGACUCUCACUGAUUUUCAGGUAAGACCCCUAGCUAGACGACUAGGUUGAUAGGCUGGAUGUGGAAGUGCGGUAACGCAUGGAGCUGACCAGUACUAAUAGGUCGAGGACUUGAUUCU
rnacentral:rRNA from 1 species